rnacentral:rRNA from 1 species
CAGCGGCGGACGGGUGAGUAAUGCCUAGGAAUCUGCCCGAUAGUGGGGGACAACGUUUCGAAAGGAACGCUAAUACCGCAUACGUCCUACGGGAGAAAGCAGGGGACCUUCGGGCCUUGCGCUAUCGGAUGAGCCUAGGUCGGAUUAGCUAGUUGGUGGGGUAAAGGCUCACCAAGGCGACGAUCCGUAACUGGUCUGAGAGGAUGAUCAGUCACACUGGAACUGAGACACGGUCCAGACACCUACGGGAGGCAGCAGUGGGGAAUAUUGGACAAUGGGCGAAAGCCUGAUCCAGCCAUGCCGCGUGUGUGAAGAAGGUCUUCGGAUUGUAAAGCACUUUAAGCUGGGAGGAAGGGCAGUAAGUUAAUACCUUGCUGUUUUGACGUUACCAGCAGAAUAAGCACCGGCUAACUUCGUGCCAGCAGCCGCGGUAAUACGAAGGGUGCAAGCGUUAAUCGGAAUUACUGGGCGUAAAGCGCGCGUAGGUGGUUCAGCAAGUUGGAUGUGAAAGCCCCGGGCUCAACCUGGGAACUGCAUCCAAAACUACUGGGCUAGAGUAUGGUAGAGGGUGGUGGAAUUUCCUGUGUAGCGGUGAAAUGCGUAGAUAUAGGAAGGAACACCAGUGGCGAAGGCGACCACCUGGACUAAUACUGACACUGAGGUGCGAAAGCGUGGGGAGCAAACAGGAUUAGAUACCCUGGUAGUCCACGCCGUAAACGAUGUCAACUAGUUGUUGGGUUCCUUGAGGACUUAGUAACGAAGCUAACGCGAUAAGUUGACCGCCUGGGGAGUACGGCCGCAAGGUUAAAACUCAAAUGAAUUGACGGGGGCCCCGCACAAGCGGUGGA